AAACAAUGAGCAUGAAAUGGCAAAUUGGACAGACAAUCAAGCUUUUUCAUCACUUUAUAAGAUCAGUUCUAUCGAGAUCUAUUGUGGCAGUCUGGAUAUCUCACUAAAAAGAAGCAUGUGCACAUUAAAGAAAAGUGUUUGGGUGUGAGAGACAUGAGGAAAAGAAUGCUAGUAGUGAAUCUUUCAUCACCUGGGGAACCAAUUGCUUUUAUUAAGUUUCCUUUGUUUUCAAUACUUAAAGUAAUUUUUAUUUUCCUGCUUCAAACCUAAUGAUAUACCAUUAUAGCCUUUAACUUGUGCAUAAAAUAAAUAAAACUAAAAUGUA